UACGAAGGGGGCUAGCGUUGCUCGGAAUCACUGGGCGUAAAGCGCACGUAGGCGGCUUUCUAAGUCAGGGGUGAAAUCCUGGAGCUCAACUCCAGAACUGCCUUGAUACUGGAGAGCUCGAGUCCGGAAGAGGUGAGUGGAACUCCGAGUGUAGAGGUGAAAUUCGUAGAUAUUCGGAAGAACACCAGUGGCGAAGGCGGCUCACUGGUCCGGUACUGACGCUGAGGUGCGAAAGCGUGGGGAGCAAACAGG
rnacentral:rRNA from 1 species